rnacentral:rRNA from 1 species
AGAGUUUGAUCAUGGCUCAGAACGUACGCUGGCGGCACGCCUAACACAUGCAAGUCGAACGAAGUAGCAAUACUUAGUGGCAGACGGGUGAGUAACAUGUAGGUAUCUGCCCUUUGGCCUGGAAUAACACGAGGAAACUUGUGCUAAUACCGGAUAAGUCUUUACGGAGAAAGCUUUAUGCACCAUUGGAUGAGCCUGCACUUGAUUAGUUUGUUGGUGGGGUAAUGGCCUACCAAGACUGUGAUCAAUAGCUGAUUUGAGAGGAUGAUCAGCCACAUUGGGACUGAGACACGGCCCAAACUCCUACGGGAGGCAGCAGUGGGGAAUCUUGCACAAUGGAGGAAACUCUGAUGCAGCGAUGCCGCGUGAGUGAAGAAGGCCCUUGGGUUGUAAAGCUCUUUCGUCGGGGAAGAAAAUGACUGUACCCGAAUAAGAAGGUCCGGCUAACUUCGUGCCAGCAGCCGCGGUAAUACGAAGGGACCUAGCGUAGUUCGGAAUUACUGGGCUUAAAGAGUUCGUAGGUGGUUGAAAUAGUUGGUGGUGAAAUCCCAGAGCUUAACUCUGGAACUGCCAUCAAAACUUUUCAGCUAGAGUAUGAUAGAGGAAAGCAGAAUUUCUAGUGUAGAGGUGAAAUUCGUAGAUAUUAGAAAGAAUACCAAUUGCGAAGGCAGCUUUCUGGAUCAUUACUGACACUGAGGAACGAAAGCAUGGGUAGCGAAGAGGAUUAGAUACCCUCGUAGUCCAUGCCGUAAACGAUGUGUGUUAGACGUUGGAAAUUUAUUUUCAGUGUCGCAGGGAAACCGAUAAGCACACCGCCUGGGGAGUACGACCGCAAGGUUAAAACUCAAAUGAAUUGACGGGGACCCGCACAAGUAGUGGAGCAUGUGGUUUAAUUCGAAGAUACGCGCAGAACCUUACCAACACUUGACAUGUUCGUCGCGACUCUAAGAGAUUAGAGUUUUCGGUUCGGCCGGACGAAACACAGGUGCUGCAUGGCUGUCGUCAGCUCGUGUCGUGAGAUGUUGGGUUAAGUCCCGCAACGAGCGCAACCCUCACUUUUAGUUGCCAUCAUUAAGUUGGGCACUCUGAAAGAACUGCCAGUGAUAAGCUGGAGGAAGGUGGGGAUGACGUCAAGUCCUCAUGGCCCUUACGUGUUGGGCUACACACGUGCUACAAUGGUAUCUACAACAGGAAGCAAGACUGCGAAGUUAAGCAAAUCCCUAAAAGAUACCUCAGUUCGGAUUGCACUCUGCAACUCGAGUGCAUGAAGCUGGAAUUACUAGUAAUCGUGGAUCAGCGUGCCACGGUGAAUGCGUUCCCGGGUCUUGUACACACCGCCCGUCACACCAUGGGAGUUGGUUCUACCUUAAGGCAAGGUUUUAAACCCUUGACCACGGUAUAGUCAGCAACUGGGGUGAAGUCGUAACAAGGUA